CCUCUCCCUGCCCAGCUGUGUCUGGGUGGGGCAGGGGAGGCCGUGCGGCCUGUGGGGAGGGAGGCCGGAGCCCUGCAAGGUGCAGGGUGGAGGAGACCUGGGAUGUUUGGGCAGCCCCCCCCAGGAGAGAGUGAUAGAGACUGUGCUGGCUUGAAAUUUGGUAUCUUGUGCUGGCACCAUGGCCAGGAGAAGAAGUGGGGGGGGCAAGGUGCCCAGCCGCUGGGAGACCGGGCUGAGCUUUUAACUCUUUUGGUAUUGAAACAAUGGAAGCUGUAAAAACACUGAUCCUCCCCAGCUGAGGAUUAAGAGGGGACGGAGGAUGGGAAAGAAGGAAAGGUUUGAGUAGUUGAAGAAAAUGCUAGUAGAUGAGAGUGCCCUAGAUGGAGGAGAUGAUUGGAGUGGCUUUGGCUGAACUUUUCUCUUUACGUAGCCACGGGCGAAACCAAUUUCUUCCGAGAUGUCAGAGAAUGCACCUUGGGGGAGGCAGUUGGCCCGAAGCCAAGAAGGAGAAGUAGAGGGAACAGAGACUGAGGGGGAGGGUGUGGUGGAGCCCUCUGCCUUCAGUGAAAGAUCUCUGUUCCCGAGAACCAGGCCCCAGGAGAGUAAAAAUAUGGGGGGGGGACAGGUGUCCCAAAUGGUGAGAGGCUGCCACAUCUUGGAACUGGGCAAUGCAUUCUUAAAAGGACCUAAGGAGCAUUUGGGUCCAUGGGCGGUGGUGAGAGCACUGGACAUGGAAGGAAGAUGGUCACCACAGCAGCUUCUCUCUGGGCAGCUGCCACGUGUGACAUGGAAGCCCAGGAGGUUCCACUGUGUUUCCAGGGGAGGCCCAUGGUGCAAGAGGGAGACUCCUCUCUCCUGAUGAACUGGGGGCGGUUGUGUGAAGGAGGGUAUUGGACUGAGAAUUGAGUGUUAGAGGGGAUUGAGUGUUAGAGGGGUGGGGGGAGGAGGAGUGUUUUGGAGGUGUUCCAUUGUGGAUUGUUGUGUGUGGUUUUUUUCUUUUUCCCUUAUGUUUCUGUGUUGUAGAUUAUUAAAGUGUUGUGUUUUUCCCUCCAUCCCCAAGUUAAAACCUGCUUUGUUCUGUUUCCGAGUCACAUCUCACAAUAAGCAUUUUGAAAAUACACCUUUCAUAAAGGCCCUGGCAUUGUGCCAGGGUCAAACCAUGACAGGGACUAUUUCUACAAUUCCAUGGACUGAAAUUGGCUGCAAAAAUAAUCUUAGAGCCACUUGAGUAAUCUUGCAACUGUUAGAUGAUUACUUGUUACAGACUGAUGGAAAAGCUAGCACUUUUGCUCAACUUGUCAAGUGACAUCUGGAAUCCCUGAAGUACUUGUUAAAAAUCAGUUUCACUGCCAAUGCUGCCAUAUAAAAGUACUUUUUUUUUUUUCUUUUAGAGAAAUGGAUCAUACACCCUGUACAUAUUACCCAGUCACAGAAAGAGUCACUGCUAUAAUUAUUAGCUUUUCCCUGCGUGGAAACACGGUAUGGGACACUGUUUGAGGCACUGGAACUGUCAGUGCCUUUUGAGUGACACAAGUGGAGUAAUCCCAGUAGAGGUUUCCAUAUGUGCUUUGUUUGUGGUGGGAGGCAGGACCAUGAAUGAGCAAAAACUCAGCAGAUGAGGGGUCCUAUUAGUGGUUGGUUAAACCCUCUGGAGCCCAGCUGGCAAAGAGAAGGACAUUUCUUCAUGUGGGUGAUUUUCCAAACCAAGCUGCAACAAGCAGACAGGUGCUGGGGUGGUGAUGGAAACCCAGUCUCAGACCCUGAGAUGGUCUCAAUCACUGGGGGAGGUGUUCACUAAUUGCUAGAAAAGGUGCAUUGUAACUAAUUAAACAUUAAUCACCCUCUGUUCAGUGCUGAGCAGAGCUGUAUCAGAACAACUCCCUUGAAAUGAAAGAGUUGUCCUAUGACUAAUGGACAGAAGUGUUGCCUGUCUUUGCCUUUCCCUGACUCUUCCCCAUCCUUUUCUGCAGUUCCUAGGGCAUGCCUGGCUGAACCUCAUCAAGAAUUACAAUUUUAUCAGGCUGAGAUAAAGCUCAGUGGAAAUGCAGCCCUCGGUGAGCGUGGCAGGGAGCUCCAGGACAGGACACCUGGGCACCGGACCAUGAAAGCCUGAGAGGGAACAGCCAGCAAAUUACUGUCUCUGCAGGAAGUCUGGAAUGUUUCAUUCUAUUUCUUUCACAUAUUAAUGUUGCAUUGACAGCUGCUCAAGCUUAAAACAUCUUUAACUGAAAGGUUAAACGAGAGACAUGGGAAGAUCCCAAAGAAAAGGUUCAUCUCUCUUUAUAGUCAUGUCAUAUGGGUUUGUGUUACCCAGUGGCAAGUCUUUCUAGAUGCAAUUUAUUCACAGUGAGUACUUGAAGCUUCUUGUAUCCCUUACUUCCUUUUAUUUGUGCAAGGCUGUUCAAUACAACAUCUGCAUCCAUGCUUCCUAAUAGCUUCAUCUGUGGAUCUCUGUAAGUGGGUUUCUUUGCAUUGUAAGAUGUACACAAAAGGUUUGUUGUUGAUUACACAUAUAAUUUCUUACAAGUCAACACUGCUGUUGUAAAGAGGUUCUAUAGCAAAACAUAUUUUGAACUGUUUUUUUCAGGCACCAACUUUCCUUUCAGUUUAAGACAUGGUUUUAAUUAUAAAUAAAAUUAAAUUAAAUUUUGAUUAUAAUGUAUAAAAUAUUUGUUUUUUUUCUUAAAAAAACACCCAAACAACAACAAAGGAAAAGCAUACACAAUCCUUUAGCUUUAAUGAAUAACUGAAUAAUAUGGGUCAGGAGAGGAGCUUCAUGAAAUACAUAUUAUAGAAAAAUGACUUGCUCUCCCAUCCAGCGUCAGAGCAGCCAUCUGAGAUAAUUCCUUUAUUUUUUUUGGCCAUGCAAAACUAUAAAAGCUAAAGAAAACUGCAAAAUAAAGGAAAAUCCAACACAAAUAAUGUUUUAGAGAAAGCCAGAGUUAAUACUUUUUCAAAAUAUCACCCAUUUUCCAGGAAGACCCAAUAAACUGGUGUUUUUUAAGCCCAGACAGCCAGUUUUGGUGAGACAGCUAUGAGAAGUGCCUGGAAUCCCACACUCAAGGUGCAGUUCUGUGGGAAAUGGAUUUGUAAAGAAUUCUCAAAACCUGAUAGAAAGUUCACAUAGUCUUGUACAUCUGUAUGUAAACACUGAGAUAAGGUGUGUUGGUUUAGGAAGGCUCUAGAAUAGAGAUGACAUUGUUGAGAGAGAGACUGAACAAGAAAUAACUUUUAAUAAGUUUCAUAAGUUUAAUAAGUUUCAAAAUAUGCCCUUGUGAAAAGACUAGAUAUUUUAGAGAAUUAGAACUGUGAAAGAUGGAUUGUAGUAGGAUCACCUGAGGUAAAAAUAUAGGUGAUUGGUGUUAGAAGCAUUGUGUUGUAAAAGCUAAUAGGCUGAAAAGUGUUUACAAGCAUUUUAAUUGAUGAAAUACGGCUUCCUAAGUCAUCACACCUUAACUCAGUGUUUGCACAGAGAUGUACAAGACUGUGCGAGCUUUCUGCCAGGUUUUGAGAAUUCUUUACGAAUCCACUUCCCACACAGUUCUUGUCUUGUUUUUGCAGUGGAGCAACAGAUAAGCCAGGGCUUAGAUCUGACCUAAAGCUUGGGCUUAGGCUGACCUAGGUGAGGUGUGAGGGCAGAGGGAGAUGAGAGGUGGCCUGGCUGGAAAAGAACACUGGUACACACAGCAUGGAGCCAAGCAUGGCUGUGGGCAAGGUCAGAAGGGAAAAGAAAUAAAAAUAAUUACCAGCAGAAAUGUGAUGGGACGGGAGAGAAAAAAACUUCAGGUUUUUGGCAAUUCCGGUGCCUGAGGGUGAAGCUGUCAGUGCACCUCAAGAUCUGUGCACAGCCAGGACAGAGCUGCUUUGAGUUUCAGCUGUGAAAUACUGUGUGGUGUGCCAGAGUUAACUGGGGAACGGAGGGACAAGGAUUUCAGGGAACAAGUACCUGCUCUUUAGGGAGAAGAGCUGAGAGACUGCACCUUAAACUUCAUUUCUCCUUAGUGUGUGUGCAGGGUGAUGUGCUGUUCUGUGCACAUCUGUGCUGUUCUGUCUUAUGGGAACUAAUACCAUGCUUGCUGUCAGUUUGGAGAUUUCAUACUGUUCCACCCCCACCCGUCAGAACAUUUCAUUACAUCUCUCAGGCAAUAGAAAGGACUUUUUGAUUAUUAGCAAACUUCAGGGGCCAUUUGAAAGCUGUGGGCAAUCCAGGACAUCCUACACUGGAAAUUUGGACAGAUAUCCCAAAAAGCCUUGGGCUUAACACCAAGUUCUGCAUUUCCAGUCUGCACUCACUGCUGGAAAAUGGAUAUUUGCAGAGCCUGAGCUACAGUGUCUUUGUAAGUUAAGCAAUAAAUAAAAAUUUAAUUCAUAAUCUUGGUGUAUUCUUCAACUCAGAAUUAAAAUUUUCAUGUCUUUUCCACUUGUAGAUCUACUUCUACCACAGUCAGUGAUGUUAUAUCACUGCAGAAAGACAUCUCUUACCAUUGUAUUUUACAAGGCAACUGAGUGCCAGUGUCACUAUGCAGAGUCCCUUGGCAAUUGUAGAGACAUCUCCUCCAGAAUAUGGAAAUAUUCACUUGUGCAUGUGCAUUUUCCU